rnacentral:rRNA from 1 species
AUACGGAGGACGCGAGCGUUAUCCGGAUUCAUUGGGUUUAAAGGGUGCGCAGGCGGCCGUGCAAGUCAGCGGUGAAAGCCCGGGGCUCAACCCCGGAAGUGCCGUUGAUACUGCAUGGCUGGAAUGCGGUCGAGGCGGGCGGGACGGGGCGUGUAGUGGGGGAAAGCGUAGAUAUGCCACAGAACGCCGAUAGCGGAGGCAGCUCGCCAGGCCUGCAUUGACGCUCGGGCACGAAAGCGUGGGGAUCGAACAGGAUUAGAUACCCUGGUAGUCCACGCCGUAAACGAUGGGCGCUCGUCGUCGGCGGCAGACAGUCGGCGGCCAAGCGAAAGCGAUAAGCGCCCCACCUGGGGAGUACGGUCGCAAGGCUGAAACUCAAAUGAAUUGACGGGG